UAUAGCAGCCAUAUCACCCUGCAACUCACAACUGGUAACCCACUGAAGCUAAGCAGAUGUGAGCCUGGUCAGUACCUGGAUAGGAGACCUCCUGGGAAAAACUAAGGUUGCUGCUGGAA
ensembl:rRNA 5S_rRNA 5S ribosomal RNA